CUCAGGACGAACGCUGGCGGCGUGCUUAACACAUGCAAGUCGAACGAUGAAGCACUUCGGUGUGGAUUAGUGGCGAACGGGUGAGUAACACGUGGGCAAUCUGCCCUUCACUCUGGGACAAGCCCUGGAAACGGGGUCUAAUACCGGAUAACACUCCUACAGGCAUCUGUGGGGGUUAAAAGCUCCGGCGGUGAAGGAUGAGCCCGCGGCCUAUCAGCUUGUUGGUGAGGUAGUGGCUCACCAAGGCGACGACGGGUAGCCGGCCUGAGAGGGCGACCGGCCACACUGGGACUGAGACACGGCCCAGACUCCUACGGGAGGCAGCAGUGGGGAAUAUUGCACAAUGGGCGAAAGCCUGAUGCAGCGACGCCGCGUGAGGGAUGACGGCCUUCGGGUUGUAAACCUCUUUCAGCAGGGAAGAAGCGAAAGUGACGGUACCUGCAGAAGAAGCGCCGGCUAACUACGUGCCAGCAGCCGCGGUAAUACGUAGGGCGCAAGCGUUGUCCGGAAUUAUUGGGCGUAAAGAGCUCGUAGGCGGCUUGUCACGUCGGGUGUGAAAGCCCGGGGCUUAACCCCGGGUCUGCAUUCGAUACGGGCUAGCUAGAGUGUGGUAGGGGAGAUCGGAAUUCCUGGUGUAGCGGUGAAAUGCGCAGAUAUCAGGAGGAACACCGGUGGCGAAGGCGGAUCUCUGGGCCAUUACUGACGCUGAGGAGCGAAAGCGUGGGGAGCGAACAGGAUUAGAUACCCUGGUAGUCCACGCCGUAAACGGUGGGAACUAGGUGUUGGCGACAUUCCACGUCGUCGGUGCCGCAGCUAACGCAUUAAGU
rnacentral:rRNA from 1 species